rnacentral:rRNA from 1 species
GACGUAGGGCGCGAGCGUUGUCCGGAUUUAUUGGGCGUAAAGAGCUCGUAGGCGGUUUGUCGCGUCUGCUGUGAAAACUCAGGGCUUAACUCUGAGCUUGCAGUGGGUACGGGCAGACUUGAGUGCGGUAGGGGAGACUGGAAUUCCUGGUGUAGCGGUGAAAUGCGCAGAUAUCAGGAGGAACACCGGUGGCGAAGGCGGGUCUCUGGGCCGUAACUGACGCUGAGGAGCGAAAGCAUGGGGAGCGAACAGG